AUGCUUAAACUCCUUUACUGUGUUAACCUCCAGCCUUCCAGCUGAAGUGGUAGAGGUUAACACAGUAAAGGAGUUUAAGCAU